rnacentral:tRNA from 1 species
CGCUUUAGCUCAGUUGGCAGAGCAGCUGUCUUGUAAACAGCAGGUCGUCGGUUCGAGUCCGACAAGC